AUUGAACGAUGGCGGCAGGCCUAACACAUGCAAGUCGAACGAGUGGCGGACGGGUGAGUAAUGUCUGGGAAAAUGCCCGAUGGAGGGGGAUAACUACUGGAAACGGUAGCUAAUACCGCAUACCAUCGGAUGUGCCCAGAUGGGAUUAGCUAGUAGGUGGGGUAACGGCUCACCUAGGCGACGAUACCUAGCAGGUCUGAGAGGAUGACCAGCCACACUGUAACUGAGACACGGUCCCGACUCCUACGGGGGGCAGCAGUGGGGAAUAUUGCACAAUGGGUGCAAGUCUGAUGCAGCCAUGCCGCGUGUAUGAAGAAUGCCUUCGGGUUGUAAAGUACUUUCAGCUAGGAGGCGUUACUCGCAGAAGAAGCACCGGCUAACUCCGUGCCAGCAGCCGCGGUAAUUC
rnacentral:rRNA from 1 species